AAAGUCCAUUACUUCUAAGCAUGGACAUGAGAAAGAGUCCUGCUGAACAGGAUCUGGCACUUAUUUCUUUCUACAAGGGGCCUAAUGUGGAAUGGGCACGUCCCCUGAAUUGCAGACUUGAAGGGGAUACUGCUAUUGGAGAGGGAGUCACUCGCUUUUUCAUUUCAACAUGUAUGGAAAAGCUGAAGUCUGGGUUUUGUAUCAGUUUUGGAAACUCCAAUGUUACACGGCUUUUUGAAGGAGAGCCUGGCCAUUUAGUUCCCUCAGCCUCUCACUUUCUUGUGGAGAGUGAUAUGUUCCUUGUGG